AUAUGUUUUGUUACUGUUUAUGAUUGUGAUACAUUGUGUGAUCGAGGGGGGUGAUGUUUGUUUCCAGUUUCUGCUUAUGCUGGUGAGCGCGGCUAUUAUGAUGUGGUAUGUAAGAUAUUUCUGUUGUUUGUGUGGUAUUUGUGGCAGUAGGAGAAGUAAAUAUGUUUCUGGUUUGUGUGGUAGUUUGAGAUCUGUGUGUUUAGUGAUUAGAUGUGCUAUUUGUUGCCAGAAUUGUCAAAUUUUUUCACAUUGCCACCAUAUAUGCAAC